rnacentral:lncRNA from 1 species
UCUGAAUUUUGGAACAAAGGAAUAUAUUACCUAUUUUUUAAAAUAAAUAACAUAUUUAAAAAAAUGUGUUAAUGUUUUCAAUAACAUGAGAAAAUACACUUAAGAGAAAAAAAGUAGAAUGUAAAAUAUAUAUAUAUUUCACAAAUCAACCCCUAGGAAUGGACUACAAAACAACAUACAUUUGUAGACUUUUAUGUCCUUACAAAUGAAGAACGAUAGUUAACACUAGGUCCAGAGAACCCAGAUUGUUUUGGAUACUGAAAUACCGAAUUAUCAUAUACAUGUAUUCUUAGAAUAGCAUGGCCCUAUUUCUAACAUCACACAAAUAAACAGUAUGCCAAAGAAGUGUGUAA